CUUUAAGAAGUUUAAAUUGGCAGUAAUUCUCUAGUCAAAUAUAAGACUCCUUGAAAUCAACUGAUCCUUUUGACCAAUCAGGAAAUGAAGACAUGGAAGCUGUAAAUCCUUAAAUUUGGGUCAUAUUGCUAUACCACCUUACAAAUUUAUUUCGUAACUUAUGAACAUGUAAAACAAAGAUGAUUUAGAAACAUUACAUGAACAAGGCUGCCACGGUAUGUCUGAAAAUGAACUUUGCACCUGAGAGUCAUACACUUAUAUAAUCAGAUUAAAUUUUCCUGCCACAUAAAACAAACAAUCAAGCAAACGAAUCCACAUUAAUCUCUGCAGCACUCCAUAAUGUCCUUUUUCAUCACCGCUGGGAAUAUUGCUACUGAAACCAAUGGGAUUGUGGUAGUUCCAUUAGCCUUAGGAGUAUGUGUUUGGAUCCAGGCCUAUUUCCCUAGAAAUAAUAUGUAAAUUUUCACCUGAUUUCAGCAUAAUUGAUAUCCAGCAGUUAUAAGUCAUUAAAGUCUUAGGUAUUCAGUAAAUGUUAGUGUACAUGUAUUUUACAGAAGGACUACAUUCUGAAAAUUAUUUAAUGCUUACGUAUUUUGCUGAACUGUGGUAUGUAUUAUAAUAAUAAAGAUGAUUCCCUGUAUCCAAGACAAGUUCAGAUUUUUGUUUGAAACUGCAUCCUUUCCACUGUUAAACUAGAAACUAGAUAAUAAGUUUGCAGUAAGACAUUUUUAACAAAUGCAAUUAUUUUAAUUCUCAGAAUCAAGUGUGUGUCUUUUGAAUUCUCACUGAAAAUAAUGUUAUGAAUUCUAAGGUCACGUGUGGAAGAAGGCAUUGUGUGCUUAGGAAAGGAAAUGUCUGCUUAAUGUUCUGGUACAUGCAAUUCAAAAUUGUCAAAAAUCUUCCUAAAUUUUUACAUUUCAAAAAGGUUGAGAAACAGAAUGAUAUAAGGAGGGCCUUAAUGUUGUGAUCACACGGCAGUAUAGGAAAUCUUACUUCAGGAUCAGCUUUACAAAAAACACCCAAGUAGGCACCAAGCACUUAAGAACAGCAGAAAAGAGCUUCAGACAGAACCACCCACUUUCUUUCAAUGUCCCAAGAAAAAAAAGAAAACAAUGUGACAAUUUUCUUCUACUGAUAAGAAGGGAUUCAUCAGUAAGUACUUCCAUGAUUAUGAGAAUUAAUGAGCUACUGACAGUGUGAAGAGUGCAGGAAGAAAGGUGACUGCACAUCUCUUUCUAAAUAUACAGAUCUUAAGUACAAAUACUGUGAAAUAUUUGGCAUGUAAAAGAUUUUUUUUUAUAUACCAAAGGCUGAAGCUAUUAUGGGAAGUGAAAUUUUAAUUUUGGUCAUACUGGGAUAAGUACAUAUUUAAGUUACAAGGUAGAUAGCAGGAUACAAAAGUAAGUUGAGCAAACAAAGAAACAGAAUAUAUGCCUUGCCUUCCAGACUUAAAUUGUCCUUGUAUUACAGUAUAUGCUGGUACAAGCAGUUCUCAGUGGACUUAAUAGCUCUGAAACCAUGCUGCUUGGGCAUGCAGUACCAGCUCAGAGUGAGAAGUAACCUGAACAUGCUCCUCAUCUCGCCAGACUUGACCUAGAAUAAGGAAUGAAGGCCUAGGAUCCUAAAUACACAGUUAUGCCACUCCAAACUCACCUUGGUUUGCAGAGGUCUG
ensembl:lncRNA